rnacentral:lncRNA from 1 species
UUUCGCCAUAUUAAUUAAAUUUGUGUUUUUUGUUUUAAGUUUUCUUAUCCCUUUUUACAAGGUUUGAGACAAGGGUUAUGUAACUUAUCUUUGCCCUAUAUCUGAACCGUGUAUGCAUCUUCACCGACGAGUUACAUGGUUACACGGUAUGUGAAUUUUGAAGGUUAUUUCCUUUUUGUUAAUCAAUGGUGACUUGGGAACUAGGGAUUCCGACCAUGGGUCAAAUUUCCAUAUUUACUCUUGCAAGUCUAAUUAGAUUUAUAGGGAAUCAGGAUAAACAUGUAUGGAUUGUUAUUCAUAAUUAUUUUAGGCCACAUGUUCCGUCCAGGCUUUGAAAUACAAUCAAAGAUAUGAAAUUAUAAUACUAGGUUAAGAAAUUGUCCGUGCGCAAAACGGGCCCCAAAGAAAUCUGAGCAAGAACAAGGUGGUAAGACCAAGCAUCGAUACAGGUGUUGGUAUUAUGGGAAGCGAUAUCGGUACUUAUUUUUAUAGUUUUGAAUUAAUUUAAAACAUGACUUUAUUUAUUGUGUUACAUCGACUUUGUUUUCU